ACUGAGUGUGCAUGGAGUUCGGGGUUUUUACUGUGAGAAAAUUAGAGUGUUCAAAGCAGGCUCGACGCCGGAAUAUAUUAGCAUGGAAUAAUAAAAUAGGACGUGCGGUUCUAUUUUGUUGGUUUUUGGAAUCGCCGUAAUGAUUAAUAGGGACAGUCG
rnacentral:rRNA from 1 species